CAGCAGCCACGGUAAUACGAAGGGUGCAAGCGUUAAUCGGAAUUACUGGGCGUAAAGCGUGCGUAGGCGGUUUGUUAAGUCUGUUGUGAAAUCCCCGGGCUCAACCUGGGAAUGGCAAUGGAUACUGCAAGCUAGAGUGUGUCAGAGGAUGGUGGAAUUCCCGGUGUAGCGGUGAAAUUCGUAGAUAUUGGGAAGAACACCGGUGGCGAAGGCGGCGACCUGGUCCAUAACUGACGCUGAGGCGCGAAAGCGUGGGGAGCAAACAGGAUUAGAUACCCCCGUAGUCCCUGUCUCUUAUACA
rnacentral:rRNA from 1 species